rnacentral:rRNA from 1 species
ACUCCUACGGGAGGUAGCAGUGGGGAAUAUUGCACAAUGGGGGAAACCCUGAUGCAGCCAUGCCGCGUGUGUGAAGAAGGCCUUCGGGUUGUAAAGCACUUUCAGUAGGGAGGAAGGUAGUGUAGUUAACACCUGCAUUAUUUGACGUUACCUACAGAAGAAGCACCGGCUAACUCCGUGCCAGCAGCCGCGGUAAUACGGAGGGUGCGAGCGUUAAUCGGAAUUACGUGGGCGUAAAGCGCAUGCAGGCGGCCUGUUAAGUCAGAUGUGAAAGCCCGGGGUCUUAACCGUCGGAAUUGCAUUUGAAACUGGCAGGCUAGAGUCUUGUAGAGGGGGUUAGAAUUUCAGGUGUAGCGGUGAAAUGCGUAGAGAUCUGAAGGAAUACCGAGUGGCGAAGGCGGCCCCUGGACAAAGACUGACGCUCAGAUGCGAAAGGCGUGGGAGCAAACAGGAUUAGAUACCCCUGGUAGCGACUGA